CUGUCAUGUGUGUUGAAAAACUAAAUAAAAAUCCGACGCAUGAAUUUAUACAUGAUGAAAAAUUGUCGACUAAGACAGACUAUCUAUGAAAGGACUGACAUUGAGAUAAAAAAAUGUGUAGAAUACUCAAAGAAGAUGAAAGGACUGACAUUGAUAUCAAGAAUGUGUGGAAUACUCAAAGAAGAUGUGUGGCCGGUAAGGGCCUUGACUAGUUGAAGAAUGAAUCCUCCGUUAUCUCUUUGUCCUCGUCUUCCUCUAUGUCUUCACUCGUGUCCUGACAAAUCAAUUUAUCAUGGUGAAUUUUAAUGCUCUAAGAAAAGACUGCCUUGGAGAAAUAUUGUUUCAUUGGACAAAGGUCUCCCGUCAACUAUUUAAGGGAAUACCUCGUUUCUAGUUAGGGAAAAUGUCACAAAUGGUCCCUAUAUUAUUACCUAAUGUGCAAUUUGGUCCCUAAACUUUCGAUUGGCUCAAUUUGGUCCUUAAACUAUUGAUAAAUAUCCGAUUUGGUCCCUGAACUUUCAAUCGGCUCAAUUUAAUCCCUGAACUAUUUGAUAAAUGUCUGAUUUGGUCCAUGAACUUUUGAUCGGCUCAAUUUGGUCCCUAAAUUAUUGAUAAAUAUUCGAUUUAGUCCUUAGUUACUGUUUUUCCUAUUUUAUUUUUUAUUUUUAAUUUUUUAAUAAUUUUUUUAUUUUUUUUUGCUUAUUCUCUCUUCCCUCCGCCGACUCCGGCGGAGGGAAGCCGGCUCCGGCGAGGCUCGCCCUCGCCGGACGCAGGCGAGGGCGGCCCUCGCCGGCGUCGAGCGAGGGGCUCCCUCGCAGAUCUGGCGAGGGAGCCCCUCCCCGGCGUCGGGCGAGGGAGCUCCUCGCCCNNNNNNNNNNNNNNNNNNNNNNNNNNNNNNNNNNNNNNNNNNNNNNNNNNNNNNNNNNNNNNNNNNNNNNNNNNNNNNNNNNNNNNNNNNNNNNNNNNNNCGCCGACGCCGACGAGGGGCUCCCUCGCAGCCCGGCGUCGGGGGAGGGGCUCCCUCGCAGCCUGGCGUCGGGAGAGGGGCUCGCUCUCCAGAUCUGCGAGGGAGCCCCUCGCCCGACGCCGGGAAGGGGCUCCCUCGCUCGACGGCGGCGAGGGUUAAGAUUUAAUGAUUAAAAAAUAAAUAAACCAAAAAUAAAAAAAGGAAAAUCCGUAACUAAGGACUAAAUCGAAUAUUUAUUAAUAAUUCAGGGAUCAAAUUGAGCCGAUCGAAAGUUUAGGGACCAAAUCAGACAUUUAUCAAAUAGUUCAUGGAUCAAAUUGAGCCGAUUGAAAGUUCAGGGACCAAAUCGGAUAUUUAUCAAUAGUUCAAAGACCAAAUUGAGCCGAUUGAAAGUUCAGGGACCAAAUUGCACAUUAGGUAAUAGUAUAGAGACUAUUUGUGACAUUUUCCCUUCUAGUUAAAACAUCAAGUAGGAUCAAAGAUAGUAGCGGACAGGGUAAGAUCACUCACUUUCUUUCCCCAAUCCCUUGCUCGAAAGAAGGCUCCUCACCAAAAGCCAUUCCUAUGGUCAAAAGUGGAAAAUUUUUGUUUGGAUUUAAUCUCUUUGGAAAGUGGGUUUUAUGAGAAAAUUGAAUGGCGAAAUUAAAGAAAAUGAUGAGAUAAAUUUCUUUGGUCAUAAAUUGUUACGGAGAAGGAAGCAACACCCAUUAUAAAUCAAAUUACUCUAAACUAAUCUUUUGUUACGAGGAAUUCAUGAGAAAACUAGGUCAGGUAAUAAAUGGCCUUGCAAGAAAAAUGGGAAAGAUAGGAUCUCAUAGGUUGUUAGGGAGAAAAGAGCAACACCUAUUUAUAAAUCAAAUUAUUCUAAACUAGUCUUCUAUUACGAGGAAUUCAAAAGAAAAUAAGGUCAGAUAAUAAAUGGCCUUGCAAGAAAAAUGAUAAAAGAUAGGAUCUUUCCUAUCAAAAAGGAGAAUUCUCGGGGUCUUGCAUGAAUUACUUGUGUAGAGAAAACACUGUGAGGGACAUGUCUGGUGCACUUGAUUUAUGUACAGUGAACCAUAAAGGACUUUGAAGGAAAAUCCAAGAAUCCAUUAAUAGUCCAACAGCUGACGACCAUUUUAAGGGAUAGAGAUAUAGCUCAUGGGGCAAUUUUAUGGGAUUUCCUUCCUACUUAUCACCACUUCAUAGGGAACCAAUGAAAGGUGAUGAAAGCCAAUCGUACCAUAGAAUAAAUUAUUAUUUUUGAAUAAUAGAAAAAUAGGGGCUUUGUUAUAAUUAAAUAAUGAAAUUAGCGUGUGCAUGUAAAUCGCACGAUUUUAGCACGCAAGUUUAAUAAAUUUUUAUCUUUUUUAGUGAAUGAGAAUUUUUAUCACACAAUGAAAGAUGAUAAAACUAGUAGUAACAUAGAAGAAAUUAUGAUUUAUUAAGUUAUAAAAACAAUAGGGGUUUUGUUAUAAUUAAGCAAUGAUAUUAGCGCGCGCACGUCAAUUGCACGGUUUUAGCACGCAAGUUUAAUAAAUUUUUAUUUAUUUUUCAGUUAAAUGGUGUUCUUUAAUGUUUCAAAUGUCAAUUUCUCGCACACAUGAAAGCGUGUCCACAUUUUACCGGGGUAGAUUAAAUUUUUCUAGCAUCUCCUGUUAUGAGUGAUUUAAAGAUAAGCCUUGCUCAGAUAUUAAAUGGCCUUGCGAGAAAAAAGAGAAGAUAUUCUCUUUCUUACAGAAAAAGACAAGUCCCCAAAUCCUGCAUGAAUGACUUGUGUAGGAAAAACACUGAGAGGGAAGACCGUGGUGCAGAUGUACAGCACAACAGGUCGUUGAAACAAAGCCCAUGAAUCAAUUAUUCAUUAAAUAAUCAAUUACCUCCUUAUAUUAAGAGGAAGAGGUAUAACUCAUGGGCAGUUCGCAGGAUCUCCUUCCUAUUUAUUACCACUUCAUAGGAAACCUAACCUCCCAUAUAUGAAGGCAUUGACACUUGUUUGGCAUCCUCAUCAAAGCCUCAUCCAUCCCCCUCUCUUUCCAUUUGUAUAAAAUGGGAAGAAAGUGGUGACAAGUGAAGUGAAUACUAGAAAGGGUUCUCUCGUGUCUUGGGUCUCUCUGCCUUCCUCGCAUAAGAAAAAGGCAGAGAGCGUUUGUACAUAGAAGACUCCAUCUUCAGCUUCAGCUUCAGCUUCGACCUCAUUAUCUCAUAGGCAAGAGAGAGAUGGGAAAGGGACGAGCACCAUGUUGCGACAAGAACAAAGUGAAGAGAGGUCCAUGGAGUCCAGCCGAGGACGCGAGGCUCAUCUCUUUCAUCCAGAAGUAUGGCCAUGAAAACUGGCGUGCUCUUCCUAAACAAGCAGGUUGACUCUCUCUCUCCUCUCUCCUCUCUCUCUCUCACUAAGCAACAUAAUAAUUUGUCUUUGUUUUUAUGUUAAUGAUGGAUUUUGCCGAGAAUAGCUUCCCAGUUUCAAAUCAUUGCUCAGCCACAAUGAUGUAAUCAAAUUCUGAGUUUUUUCGAUUAAUUAGAUUUCCAUUUAUUGAAGUUUUUUUUUCCAUAACAAUACAAGGUCUCUUUAAUUUCGGGAUAUUAUCUAAAGAAAUUAUCAUUUUGGGUGUUACUAGUCUCAUUAAAACAGCCUGAGUCUAUAACCAGCUGUAGGAUUGAACAUUUGAAGUUUCGCAUGAUCAGCGUGUCACCCGAGGAAGGCUGGUUUGAGACGCAUCUGCCAACUUAAGGUUUCAUCUUUGUGGGUCCAUCUUUUACUCUCUUUUUAAAGACUAAUCAACUAUAUACAAACCGUUCAACCAAAAAAAAAUUAGAAAAGAAAAAUGGGGGGUUUUUUUUAUUGGGCCUGAUUCCUCCCAACGCAAGUCUUUGAAAUUUGAUACCCACGUUAUUGAAAUUAAAAAGAAUAAGAAGAAGAAGAGACCUGUUUAUGAGUGUUAUCUAUUGUUGGAGAACCUCAAUCCUCUGGCGCUGCCCUGCAUAUAUGAGAGGAGUUCGAGACUGUACAUGCAGGGGAAGCCAUGCAGUUCUUUUAAGGACCCCUUGCCCCCCGUGCAAUUCGCACCAGUUCUCCAGGCUUCUUCUUCCCAUCAAGAGUCUUCCAGAUUCUUCAGAAAUUUGUGUUGUUAGCUCAGAGUAUAGCAUCUUCUCUUAUCACAAUUCUUUUCUUUGUUUCUUUCUUCUUCUUCUUUUUCCUUUUUUUUAAGGGGUGGUGGGGAGUCUAUUUUUGCUACAUCGGAUGGAAUGGUACUCGCACAUCAGGAUGAGAUUAGCAAAGAUUAUUCAGGAACCG
rnacentral:lncRNA from 1 species